AACGAACGCUGGGGCAGGCUUAACACAUGCAAGUCGAGCGCCCCGCAAGGGGAGCGGCAGACGGGUGAGUAACACGUGGGAACCUUCCUAGAGGUACGGAACAACUCAGGGAAACUUAAGCUAAUACCGUAUACGCUCUUGCGAGGAAAGAUUUAUCGCCUUUAGACGGGCCCGCGUCGGAUUAGCUAGUUGGUGGGGUAACGGCCUACCAAGGCGACGAUCCGUAGCUGAUCUGAGAGGAUGAUCAGCCACACUGGGACUGAAACCCGGCCCAGACUCCUACGGGAGGCAGCAGUGGGGAAUCUUGGACAAUGGGCGCAAGCCUGAUCCAGCCAUGCCGCGUGAGUGAAGAAGGCCUUCGGGUUGUAAAGCCCCUUUGCCAGGGACGAUAAUGACGGUACCUGGAGAAUAAGCCUCGGCAAACUUCGUGCCAUCCGCCGCAGUAA
rnacentral:rRNA from 1 species